GGGAUUGUGGCUCAGCAGUAGAGCACUCACCUAAAAAGUGUGAGGCCCCAGGUUCAAUCCUC
rnacentral:tRNA from 1 species